UACGAAGGGGGCUAGCGUUGCUCGGAAUCACUGGGCGUAAAGCGCACGUAGGCGGCUUCUUAAGUCAGGGGUGAAAUCCUGGAGCUCAACUCCAGAACUGCCUUUGAUACUGGGGAUCUCGAGUCCGGAAGAGGCGAGUGGAACUCCUGGUGUAGCGGUGGAAUGCGCAGAUAUCAGGAAGAACACCAACGGCGAAGGCAGCUCGCUGGGACGGUACUGACGCUGAGACGCGAAAGCGUGGGGAGCGAACAGG
rnacentral:rRNA from 1 species